AGAGUUUGAUCCUGGCUCAGAAUCAACGCUGGCGGCGUGCCUAACACAUGCAAGUCGAACGAGAAAGUGGAGCAAUCCAUGGGUAAAGUGGCGCACGGGUGAGUAACACGUGACUAACCUACCCUGGAGUGGGGGAUAACUGAGGGAAACCUUAGCUAAUACCGCAUAAUACCUACGGGUCAAAGGAGCAAUUCGCUCUAGGAGGGGGUCGCGGCAGAUUAGCUAGUUGGCGGGGUAAUGGCCCACCAAGGCAGUGAUCUGUAUCCGGCCUGAGAGGGCGCACGGACACACUGGAACUGAAACACGGUCCAGACUCCUACGGGAGGCAGCAGUGGGGAAUUUUGCGCAAUGGGGGAAACCCUGACGCAGCAACGCCGCGUGGAGGAUGAAGUCCCUUGGGACGUAAACUCCUUUCGAUCGGGACGAUUAUGACGGUACCGGAAGAAGAAGCCCCGGCUAACUUCGUGCCAGCAGCCGCGGUAAUACGAGGGGGGCGAGCGUUGUUCGGAAUUAUUGGGCGUAAAGGGUGCGUAGGCGGUUUGGUAAGUCUUGUGUGAAAUCUUCGGGCUCAACUCGAAGUCUGCACGAGAAACUGCCGGGCUUGAGUAUGGGAGAGGUGAGUGGAAUUCCCGGUGUAGCGGUGAAAUGCGUAGAGAUCAUGAGGAAGACCGUGGCGAAGGCGGGUCUCUGGACAGUUCCUGACACUGAGACACGAAGGCCAGGGGAGCAAACGGGAUUAGAUACCCUAGUAGUCC
rnacentral:rRNA from 1 species